UACGGAGGGGGCCAGCGUUGUUCGGAAUCAUUGGGCGUAAAGGGCGCGUAGGCGGCCAGGCAAGUCGGAGGUGAAAGCCCUCGGCUCAACCGAGGAAUUGCCUCCGAAACUGCCUGGCUCGAGUCCCGGAGAGGGUAGCGGAAUUCCCAGUGUAGCGGUGAAAUGCGUAGAUACUGGGAGGAACACCAGUGGCGAAGGCGGCUACCUGGACGGGUACUGACGCUGAGGCGCGAAAGCUAGGGGAGCAAACAGG
rnacentral:rRNA from 1 species